rnacentral:rRNA from 1 species
UACGUAGGGUCCAAGCGUUGUCCGGAGUUACUAGGCGUAAAGCGCGCGCAGGCGGCGGUGCUGGCCCGGCGUGAAAGCCCCCGGCUCAACCGGGGAGGGUCGUCGGGGACCGCACCGCUUGAGGGCGGUAGGGGCUGGUGGAAUGCCUGGUGUAGUGGUGAAAUGCGUAGAGAUCAGGCGGAACACCCGUGGCGAAGGCGGCCAGCUGGGCCGUCCCUGACGCUGAGGCGCGAAGGCGUGGGGAGCGAACGGG